rnacentral:rRNA from 1 species
AAUCAACGCUGGCGGCGUGCCUAACACAUGCAAGUCGAGCGAGAAAGGGGCUUCGGCCCUGAGUAAAGCGGCGCACGGGUGAGUAACACGUGGGUAAUCUGCCCUAGAGUGGGGAAUAACAUCGGGAAACCGAUGCUAAUACCGCAUACGAUCACGAGGUCUUCGGAUUUUGUGAUGAAAGGAGAAAUCCGCUCUUGGAGGAGCCCGCGGCUGAUUAGCUAGUUGGAAGGUAAUGGCUUACCAAGGCAACGAUCAGUAUCCGGUCUGAGAGGACGGUCGGACACACUGGAACUGAGACACGGUCCAGACUCCUACGGGAGGCAGCAGUGGGGAAUUUUUCGCAAUGGGGGAAACCCUGACGAAGCAACGCCGCGUGGAUGAUGAAGUAUCUUGGUACGUAAAAUCCUUUCGACGGGGAAGAAAACCGCAAGGUUUGACGGUACCCGUAGAAGAAGCCCCGGCUAACUCCGUGCCAGCAGCCGCAGUAAG